UAAUUUUAUAUUUGUGAGAGAGUCGGUUCCGAAUUUUCCCUCAUCUACCUCAGGAUCGUCAUUUGGGGAGCACUAAGAAAAGACCGCCCCUGUCUUAAAUCUCUGGCUCCAAAGGAGAAAGUCACAUGCCAACAAUGCCCUAGAUCUGAGAGCGUUGCUAAGCCAUUGUUCUCACAGGUGUUGUUUGCUGUGUGCUACACUGAGCCCAAGGAGAAGAAGAAGGGGCCGUCGCAGACAUUUCUUCACAGAAAUCCUUUCUUUCGGAUUUCUGCGUCUUCUGGAGCCCAGAGGCCUCAGAAGAGAAGCGACCCACUCAGGACGCUGUAAUAAGGGGGCACCGUGCCCUUUGUGCAACAACAGCCUUGGGAGCUGUCCCACCUCUCGGCCUGGCUGGACUUCUCCUGAGUUUCAGGUGGUCCCCCCACAGAAGACCCUCACCUGUUUCACAACCACUGUGACAGACAGACUGGGAUGUAAGGAGCCUCUCCAUCAAGGACUGAGACAUGGAACCCCCAUGUGAAAAGGCCCCUCUGCUCCUUCCAAGGACCGGGACUGAAACCCCCAGCCCGGGGCAGGUGUGUGGGGGAGGCAAGCUGACCAAAGCAAGAUGUUUGCCUGCAGGUUGUGACCGCUGGACCAAGAAGACAAUGGCUCUCCUUUACUGCUGAGAGCAUGGACUACCUGUUACAUCUGUUCCUUAUUGUAUCUGUAUCGCCCCCUCGCAAUUUCCAAUAGAGUUAUCAUAAUAAAAACCUCUGAGUUAGAGAGAGACUUUGAGAUCUCCCCGACGCAACAGGCGGGCCCUCGACUGGACUGGACCAAAGGACUUCGUCUCUACGUUUGGCAGCCCUAUUCCCUCUCUUCCUCUGUCUUUUUCUCUCCCUUAAUCCCUCUAUCGCAUUUUGCUGUGGUCAUUCAAUAAAGGUGCAUUUGUUUCGAUUAUCAUUGCAA